UAUGUCCAUAUCACAUUGAAACACCAGUUCCCAUACAAUCACCAAAGUUAAGCAAUGUUAAGCCUGAUCAGUACCUAGAUGAGUGACUGUAUAGGAAUACUAAG